UGCAAGUCGAACGGUGAAGCCCAGCUUGCUGGGUGGAUCAGUGGCGAACGGGUGAGUAACACGUGAGCAACCUGCCCUCCACUUCGGGAUAAGCCUUGGAAACGGGGUCUAAUACCGGAUAUGAGCCUGCAUCGCAUGGUGUGGGUUGGAAAGUUUUUCGGUGGGGGAUGGGCUCGCGGCCUAUCAGCUUGUUGGUGGGGUGAUGGCCUACCAAGGCGUCGACGGGUAGCCGGCCUGAGAGGGCGACCGGCCACACUGGGACUGAGACACGGCCCAGACUCCUACGGGAGGCAGCAGUGGGGAAUAUUGCACAAUGGGCGAAAGCCUGAUGCAGCGACGCCGCGUGAGGGAUGACGGCCUUCGGGUUGUAAACCUCUUUCAGCAGGGAAGAAGCGCAAGUGACGGUACCUGCAGAAGAAGCGCCGGCUAACUACGUGCCAGCAGCCGCGGUAAUACGUAGGGCGCAAGCGUUGUCCGGAAUUAUUGGGCGUAAAGAGCUCGUAGGCGGUCUGUCGCGUCUGGUGUGAAAUCCCGAGGCUCAACCUCGGGCUUGCAUCGGGUACGGGCAGACUAGAGUGCGGUAGGGGAGACUGGAAUUCCUGGUGUAGCGGUGGAAUGCGCAGAUAUCAGGAGGAACACCGAUGGCGAAGGCAGGUCUCUGGGCCGCAACUGACGCUGAGGAGCGAAAGCAUGGGGAGCGAACAGGAUUAGAUACCCUGGUAGUCCAUGCCGUAAACGUUGGGCACUAGGUGUGGGGCUCAUUCCACGAGUUCCGUGCCGCAGCUAACGCAUUAAGUGCCCCGCCUGGGGAGUACGGCCGCAAGGCUAAAACUCAAAGGAAUUGACGGGGGCCCGCACAAGCGGCGGAGCAUGCGGAUUAAUUCGAUGCAACGCGAAGAACCUUACCAAGGCUUGACAUGCACCGGAA
rnacentral:rRNA from 1 species